rnacentral:rRNA from 1 species
AUUGAACGCUGGCGGCAUGCCUUACACAUGCAAGUCGAACGGCAGCACGGGGGCGAACCCUGGUGGCGAGUGGCGAACGGGUGAGUAACAUAUCGGAACGUGCCCUGGAGUGGGGGAGUAACUAAGUCGAAAGACUGGCUAAUACCGCAUACGAUCUACGGAUGAAAGUAGGGGGAUCGCAAGACCUCAUGCUCGUGGAGCGGCCGAUAUC